CCUACGGGCGGCAGCAGUGAGGAAUAUUGGUCAAUGGCCGUAAGGCUGAACCAGCCAAGUCGCGUGAAGGAAGAAGGAUCUAUGGUUUGUAAACUUCUUUUAUAGGGGAAUAAAGGUAUCCACGUGUGGAUAUUUGCAUGUACCCUAUGAAUAAGCAUCGGCUAACUCCGUGCCAGCAGCCGCGGUAAUACGGAGGAUGCGAGCGUUAUCCGGAUUUAUUGGGUUUAAAGGGUGCGUAGGUUGUUUUUUAAGUCAGCGGUGAAAGUUUGUGGCUCAACCAUAAAAUUGCCGUUGAAACUGGAAGACUUGAGUGUGUUUGAGGUAGGCGGAAUGCGUGGUGUAGCGGUGAAAUGCAUAGAUAGCACGCAGAACUCCGAUUGCGAAGGCAGCUUACUAAGCCAUAACUGACACUGAAGCACGAAAGCGUGGGGAGCAAACAGGAUUAGAUACCCCUGUAGUC
rnacentral:rRNA from 1 species